UUUCAUCCCAUAUUUUUCAUCAUAAUGAAAGGCUAUUUCAUGCUUAGAUGGAAUGAAGAAUAUUUGGUACAAGGUCUUAUUAUGGGAAAAAAAGCUUUAUCAUUGUAAUUGUUUUUGGUCCAUUGAUGAUGACCAAUAUUAUUGUUGAGAAAAUUUUUGUCGAAGGUUAGCAGCAAGUGAAGCAACAAGCAACUAUCACAGAGAACUUUGAUCUCAAUUUUCUGAAAUCGGGCCAUGAGGAGGACUUUAAUUUCUGCUUGGAUGACUUAUAUCUCCUGGAUUUGUAGAAGCAUUGCAUGUAAA